rnacentral:rRNA from 1 species
AGCGAACGCUGGCGGCAUGCUUAACACAUGCAAGUCGAGCGGGAACUUUUGGUUGCCAUCGGCGGACGGGUGAGUAACGCGAGGAACCGGCCUUUGUGGGUGGACAUCACCCAGGGACACUUGCUCUUAUCCCGGAUACGCCCUUUUGGAGAAAGGCUUGCGGCCGGGGGAUGGGCUCCCGUUGGUUUGGCUAGUGGGUGGGGAAACGGCUCACCAAGGCGAGGACCAUUACCUGGUCGGAGGGGAGGAUCGCCCACACGGGGACUGGGACACGGCCCAGACUCCUACGGGAGGCAGCAGGGGGGAAUAUUGGAAAAUGGGCGAAAGCCGGAUCCAGCAAUGCCGGGUGAGUGAUGAAGGCCUUAGGGUUGGAAAGCCCUUUUACCCGGGAGGAUAAUGACGGUACCGGGAGAAUAAGGCACGGCUAACUUCGUG